rnacentral:rRNA from 1 species
CCUGAGAAACCCAAAAGAUCGGAUGGGGAGAUUCUUCGUCAGCGUCGCUGGGUUCCGUGCGGUUCGCGAUGACCGGGACUUCGGUCUUGAGUCACGCGUCUGCUGCGGUAUGUCCGGGUACGUCGGCGUGCACUUCUUCCCCUAGUAGGACGUCGCGACCCCGUUGGGUGUCCGACCGAUGGCCGUUUGGUCGCCUGUCUUGUCGCGUUCACGCGUGCACGAGGCAGACCGAAAUGGUCGAGCGUCCUGCUGCCCGGCGGUAUAGAACGCUAUUGAACGGUAAUGGGCCGCAUUAAGUGCGUUCAGGCUCGUCGGCAGGCUCGCCUCGCCCGGAUUUACGGACCUAGCGCCGUUGCCGGGUGCUUGGCGUGGCUGUUAGUCGACGAUGUCCUCGAACUGGCUCUAAAAUUCGAAAGGAUUACCGGUCGGCGACGCUACUGCUUUGGGUACUUUCAGGACCCGUC